rnacentral:lncRNA from 10 species
CUUAGAUCACAGACUGGCCUCCUUCUUGGUGUCAGCAACAUGGAUCUUAUCCAGACAGACAAUAUCCAGAAGAAUAUAAAAUCCCUAUCUUCCUGCGACACAGGAGUAUGGAAACCAUUUCCAGACCUAUCUUUGGACUUUUUCUCAGUAAGCCCUGAUACCUUGAUGUGAGAAGGCCAAGAAGAAGCCUAUAGAGAUGCCCACAAGAGGAGACUAAAGCUGAGAGAAACUGAGGCCCCUGGCCCUAGAGCUUUCACUGAGCUCCAGCUGACAACCAUCAUCAAAUCACCAGCCAUGUGACUGUGCCAUGAUGGGAGGGAAUCACCCAGUGUCCAAAUGAUCUGAUGCCACAUGUAAAAGAGAAGAGCCUUCCCCUUUGAGCCCUGCCCAGAUUGCUACUCUGCACCAAGUAAGUGGUGGCUGUUAUCUUAAGCCACUAGCAUUUAAGAUUUUAUUUUUUUGGGUGCAGGGUGGGAGUUGGUGUGACAUAGCAAUUGAUGACCAGGAUAGAACCAAAAAGGGAUUAUUUACUUAGCCAGAGUUACUUAAGAGAGUUCUGCUGUUCCUUUGGCCAAGAAAUUGAACAUUUUUAUUAGUACUACAUUUUGUAUUAUGUGAGUUCUCCAUGAUAUGUUACCUCCUUAAUAAACUAU